GGUGGUACCCAACACAGCUGACAACAGCAACAGAAAACAAAACAGUGAGAUUAAGGGCCCGGGAAGCAAUGGGAACAUCAUCCUUUGACAAAUGGAGACCAGGAGAUUCCGAAGGGAACACUCCUGAGGUGGCUUUGGGGCCAGAGAAUGCCAGACAAAUCCUUGAGCAGUGCUCAAGUGCUCACUAUGAGCCAAGCUGUGCAGAGAAAUGACACACAGCCUCAGACAGCUCCUGGAAGGACCCUGAAAGACCCUGGAAACCUUGGGAGAGAUCACUUCAGGCAAGGGUAUCCUAUGCCACAGGACUAUUUUCUCUGGGUUAUCCUUUAAAUUUUUUCCUUGUUACUUUGAUUCUAAGCUAGAACAUUUGGGUUUGGAUGAUAUUUGGCUGGUUGCCCCUGCCCCAAGAUCCAUUUAAAUAAAUGCAUAGCUAUAAAAAUAAAAUGUGCUCCCCUU